CCUACGGGAGGCUGCAGUGAGGAAUAUUGGUCAAUGGACGAGAGUCUGAACCAGCCAAGUAGCGUGAAGGAUGACUGCCCUAUGGGUUGUAAACUUCUUUUAUAUGGGAAUAAAAUGUUCCACGUGUGGGAUUUUGUAUGUACCAUAUGAAUAAGGAUCGGCUAACUCCGUGCCAGCAGCCGCGGUAAUACGGAGGAUCAGAACGUUAUCCGGAUUUAUUGGGUUUAAAGGGAACGUAGGUGGAUUGUUAAGUCAGUUGUGAAAGUUUGCGGCUCAACCGUAAAAUUGCAGUUGAAACUGGCAGUCGUGAGUACAGUAGAGGUGGGCGGAAUUCGUGGUGUAGCGGUGAAAUGCUUAGAUAUCACGAAGAACUCCGAUUGCGAAGGCAGCUCACUGGACUGCAACUGACACGGAGGCUCGAAAGUGUGGGUAUCAAACAGGAUUAGAUACCCGAGUAGUC
rnacentral:rRNA from 1 species